AGCUCCAAUAGCGUACACUAAAGUUGUUGCAGUUAAAAAGCUCGUAGUCAAAUGUGAUGUUGUGGUGUUGGGUGUUUCAUCUAUGAUGAGGGACUUUAUAUCGGACAUCAACUUUCUCUUAAUUAAGUUAAGAGAAUCGUUCACUGUAAGUAAAACAGAUCGCUCAAGCGGUUUUUAGAAAGAUAUGAAUUAGUAUGGGA
rnacentral:rRNA from 1 species